UGCAGAGUUUUCGAUUUUCAAAUUUGUGGGAUUCCUUUUGAAUCACCCUGUAUACAGUUUUUUCUGUUUUUAACAUCUGAUGUUUCCUGAUAGGUAAUCGUUUACAUCACUUUGGGAGAGGGAGUGAAAACGGGCAGUCAAUCAGUGUCUGAAAAGAGAAAAUACACCCAAUACAGAGGCUAGUAAGGAGCACUUCCAGUGCACAAAGUUAAUGUCUUAACAGAUUACAAGAUCAAGUCAUUAACAUGAACCAAAAGGACAAACUCGUCAAAAGCAAAACUCACUUUCCCUUGGCUUUUCUUUCCCUUUUCAUCACGGGUCAUCACAGCAGAAUGAACUAGCAAUUACUGUGGUACAUGCUUUUUUCACCAGAUGCUCUCAUAUGCAGAAUUGACCAGAGCACCCGAAGGAAACCCACACAAACAUGGGGUGAACAUGCAAACUCCACACCUGGCACACCUGAGACUCGAACCAGUGACCUUCUUGCUUUGAGGCAACAGUGAUGACCACGGAGCUACCAUGUGGCCCCUUUUGUAUUCACAUUAUAUUAGUGACAGUUUUCCCCUCAAGGUAUUUCAGUAAAUAAUUGUUGUGAUUUUAUAUAAUUGACAAUAAAUUGUUUGUAUUUAUA